rnacentral:rRNA from 1 species
AUUGAACGCUGGCGGCAUGCUUUACACAUGCAAGUCGAACGGUAACAGGGAGCUUGCUCCGCUGACGAGUGGCGAACGGGUGAGUAAUGCAUCGGAACGUACCGUGUAAUGGGGGAUAACGUAGCGAAAGUUACGCUAAUACCGCAUACGCCCUGAGGGGGAAAGCGGGGGAUCGAAAGACCUCGCGCGAUUAGAGCGGCCGAUGCCUGAUUAGCUUGUUGGUGGGGUAAAAGCCCACCAAGGCGACGAUCAGUAGCUGGUCUGAGAGGACGAUCAGCCACACUGGGACUGAGACACGGCCCAGACUCCUACGGGAGGCAGCAGUGGGGAAUUUUGGACAAUGGGGGAAACCCUGAUCCAGCAAUGCCGCGUGAGUGAAGAAGGCCUUCGGGUUGUAAAGACUCUUUGUUCAGGGAAGAAACAGCAGCUCUAACACAGUCUGCGAAUGACGGUACCUGAAGAAUAAGACACCGGCUAACUAACGUGCCAGCAGCCGACGG